rnacentral:rRNA from 1 species
ACAAGCAGUGGGAGCACCCUUUGGGUGUGACUGCGUACCUUUUGUAUAAUGGGUCAGCGACUUAUAUUCUGUAGCAAGGUUAACCGAAUAGGGGAGCCGGAGGGAAACCGAGUCUUAACCGGGCGUUAAGUUGCAGGGUAUAGACCCGAAACCCGGUGAUCUAGCCAUGGGCAGGUUGAAGGUUGGGUAACACUAACUGGAGGACCGAACCGACUAAUGUUGAAAAAUUAGCGGAUGACCUGUGGCUGGGGGUGAAAGGCCAAUCAAACCGGGAGAUAGCUGGUUCUCCCCGAAAGCUAUUUAGGUAGCGCCUCGUGAAUUCAUCUCCGGGGGUAGAGCACUGUUUCGGCUAGGGGGCCAUCCCGGCUUACCAACCCGAUGCAAACUGCGAAUACCGGAGAAUGUUAUCACGGGAGACACACGGCGGGUGCUAACGUCCGUCGUGAAGAGGGAAACAACCCAGACCGCCAGCUAAGGUCCCAAAGUCAUGGUUAAGUGGGAAACGAUGUGGGAAGGCCCAGACAGCCAGGAUGUUGGCUUAGAAGCAGCCAUCAUUUAAAGAAAGCGUAAUAGCUCACUGGUCGAGUCGGCCUGCGCGGAAGAUGUAACGGGGCUAAACCAUGCACCGAAGCUGCGGCAGCGACACUGUGUGUUGUUGGGUAGGGGAGCGUUCUGUAAGCCUGUGAAGGUGUGUCGUGAGGCAUGCUGGAGGUAUCAGAAGUGCGAAUGCUGACAUAAGUAACGAUAAAGCGGGUGAAAAGCCCGCUCGCCGGAAGACCAAGGGUUCCUGUCCAACGUUAAUCGGGGCAGGGUGAGUCGACCCCUAAGGCGAGGCCGAAAGGCGUAGUCGAUGGGAAACGGGUUAAUAUUCCCGUACUUGGUGUUACUGCGAAGGGGGGACGGAGAAGGCUAUGUUGGCCGGGCGACGGUUGUCCCGGUUUAAGCGUGUAGGUGUGUGUUCCAGGUAAAUCCGGUUCACUUUAACACUGAGGCGUGACGACGAGGCACUACGGUGCUGAAGCAACAAAUGCCCUGCUUCCAGGAAAAGCCUCUAAGCAUCAGGUAACAUCAAAUCGUACCCCAAACCGACACAGGUGGUCAGGUAGAGAAUACCAAGGCGCUUGAGAGAACUCGGGUGAAGGAACUAGGCAAAAUGGUGCCGUAACUUCGGGAGAAGGCACGCUGACACGUAGGUGAAGUGAUUUACUCAUGGAGCUGAAGUCAGUCGAAGAUACCAGCUGGCUGCAACUGUUUAUUAAAAACACAGCACUGUGCAAACACGAAAGUGGACGUAUACGGUGUGACGCCUGCCCGGUGCCGGAAGGUUAAUUGAUGGGGUCAGCGCAAGCGAAGCUCCUGAUCGAAGCCCCGGUAAACGGCGGCCGUAACUAUAACGGUCCUAAGGUAGCGAAAUUCCUUGUCGGGUAAGUUCCGACCUGCACGAAUGGCGUAAUGAUGGCCAGGCUGUCUCCACCCGAGACUCAGUGAAAUUGAACUCGCUGUGAAGAUGCAGUGUACCCGCGGCAAGACGGAAAGACCCCGUGAACCUUUACUAUAGCUUGACACUGAACAUUGAGCCUUGAUGUGUAGGAUAGGUGGGAGGCUUUGAAGUGUGGACGCCAGUCUGCAUGGAGCCGACCUUGAAAUACCACCCUUUAAUGUUUGAUGUUCUAACGUGGACCCGUUACCCGGGUUGCGGACAGUGUCUGGUGGGUAGUUUGACUGGGGCGGUCUCCUCCUAAAGAGUAACGGAGGAGCACGAAGGUUGGCUAAUCCUGGUCGGACAUCAGGAGGUUAGUGCAAUGGCAUAAGCCAGCUUGACUGCGAGCGUGACGGCGCGAGCAGGUGCGAAAGCAGGUCAUAGUGAUCCGGUGGUUCUGAAUGGAAGGGCCAUCGCUCAACGGAUAAAAGGUACUCCGGGGAUAACAGGCUGAUACCGCCCAAGAGUUCAUAUCGACGGCGGUGUUUGGCACCUCGAUGUCGGCUCAUCACAUCCUGGGGCUGAAGUAGGUCCCAAGGGUAUGGCUGUUCGCCAUUUAAAGUGGUACGCGAGCUGGGUUUAGAACGUCGUGAGACAGUUCGGUCCCUAUCUGCCGUGGGCGCUGGAGAACUGAGGGGGGCUGCUCCUAGUACGAGAGGACCGGAGUGGACGCAUCACUGGUGUUCGGGUUGUCAUGCCAAUGGCACUGCCCGGUAGCUAAAUGCGGAAGAGAUAAGUGCUGAAAGCAUCUAAGCACGAAACUUGCCCCGAG